rnacentral:rRNA from 1 species
GACGAACGCUGGCGGCAUGCCUAAUACAUGCAAGUCGAGCGAACAGAUGAAGUGCUUGCACUUAUGACGUUAGCGGCGAACGGGUGAGUAACACGUAAGGAAUCUACCUAUAAGCGGGGGAUAACAUUCGGAAACGGGUGCUAAUACCGCAUAAUAUCUUCUUCCGCAGGGAAGAAGAUUGAAAGACGGCCCUGCUGUCACUUAUAGAUGACCUUGCGGUGCAUUAGUUAGUUGGUGGGGUAAAGGCCUACCAAGACGAUGAUGCAUAGCCGGCCCGGGAGGGUGAUCGGGCACAUUGGGACUGGGACACGGCCCAAACUCCUACGGGAGGCAGCAGUAGGGAAUCUUCCGAAAUGGGCGAAAGCCUGACGGAGCAAUGCCGCGUGAGUGAAGAAGGCCUUCGGGUCGUAAAACUCUGUUAUAAGAGAAGAACAAAUUGUAGAGUAACUGCUACAGUCUUGACGGUAUCUUAUCAGAAAGCCACGGCUAACUACGUGCCAGCAGCCGCCGUAA